UUAGCCAGCUAGACAGUCGCUGUGAAUGAAAAUUCAUGGAGGAAAGUCCGGGCUCCAUAGGACAAAGCGCCAGAUAACGUCUGGGAGAUGAAAGUCUACGGAAAGUGCCACAGAAAAUAUACCGCCGAUUUUUUCGGUAAGGGUGAAAUGGUGCGGUAAGAGCGCACCGCGUUGUUGGCAACAACAAUGGCAGGGUAAACCCCGCUUGGAGCAAGACCAAAUAGGAGUUCUGUUCAAUCUUUUUGAUUGGAUAAAGCGCGGUCCGCGUUGAACUCGGGUAAGGUCGCUUGAACCCUCGAGUGAUCGAGGGUCCAGAUGAAUGACUGUCCACGACAGAACCCGGCUUAUCGGCUGGCUAAUCAU
rnacentral:RNase_P_RNA from 3 species